UACGUAGGGUGCGAGCGUUAAUCGGAAUUACUGGGCGUAAAGUGUGCGCAGGCGGCCGCGCAAGUCGAGUGUGAAAAGCCCCCGAGCUUAACUUGGGAAUUGCGCUCGAAACUACGUGGCUGGAGUGUGGCAGAGGAAGGUGGAAUUCCACGUGUAGCGGUGAAAUGCGUAGAUAUUGGGAAGAACACCGGUGGCGAAGGCGGCUAUCUGGACCGACAUUGACGCUGAGGCGCGAAAGCGUGGGGAGCAAACAGG
rnacentral:rRNA from 1 species